UCUGCAACUACUACAGAAUGACGCCGCAGCUUUUCGAUAAGCUGUUAAACUUUGUGGCUGCAGACCUGACCCGGCUGCAGUUAAUCAGGGAGCUCUUGGAGCCUGGAGAGCGGCUGGCGAUGACAUUGAGACGGUGUGCUGAAAACGUGUUCGGGAUCACAGCAGCAAGGUGGCGGAUCCUACUGCGGACCAUUAAUGUGAUCCCCACAAACAUGGACUUUGUUGUCAAGGCAUAACUUGCAUAACUUCCUAACUGUACUCAAUCCACAGUCUGACAAAUACAGAGAUCAAGAGGAUAAGUUUGGAAACUUUGUAGCAGGACACUCGCGUGAAAGCAUCCAAGCUGCAUCGGGGGCGACAUAAUACAGCAAUUUUUCCCCCUUCAAUCAACACGAUCAAGGAAUUAUGACAGUAAAGCUGCACAUGCCAGGAACCUCUUCGCAGCCUAUUUUCGCAGCAAAGUAGGUGAAGUUCCAUGGCAGUGGCACCAACCAGGUGCUUCCAAAGAAGGUGCUUUGAAGCGUCUACGUGAGCAGCAGUUCUACCAGCUACAAUGAUGGGGAGCACUUCCUCAAAAGAGCGAAAGCCACAUAAUGGGGCUUCAUAACAGUCAUUCAUAAUUGCUGUUCACUGCAGCUUACUAAUCGUGCUGUUUACGUAUCAAUUUUGUGGCACCUGUGCAAGAAAAAAAUGUGUUAAUAAUGUGUUCAUCGAUGUUGUGAAGUGUGUAGUCUAUCUGCUUGAAGGUAACUGGAGGUUUGAUUUGAACUGUGGUAUUCAUGACCAUCGAAACCGUAAACAUUUCAUUUCCAAGCACAAAAAAAUACAGCGGCAUUUAUUUAAGCAUACCGAGCUACUGCUGGCUCGACAGGUAGGGCCGUUCGAACCAGCCAAGCUGCUGCGAAUGCAACUAUCGCUCCCCGUUCGAUCCAUUGCUGUUCGCCUGAAGUGGCAGGCCACAACUAUGCUGUUGCGAAGAGUAUUGCAUAUGCAAGCAUUGAUGAGAUAGAAUGUAUCCCAUUAUGUAAGCAGGGCUUCAAAUAGGAAAAUAAAAGUACCUAUAAAUAAGUGCAAAUUGAACACAAACUUAUUCAAAACAACGACAUAAAAAUAUCAGUGGCAGUGUGCAGUGUGCAAUAUCAGUGUGCAGCAUCACAAUAAAAUGCAACAUAAAAAAGUAAAUACUUGAGAAGUGAGAGAUCAACAUGCUGUAAUACAGAAUUGAACACAUUGAAAAAAAUUAAGAAUAAUAGUACGAGUACCUGGUGGAAUGCAGUAUUAGCACUGCAGACAUUUACUUGGUUACCAUAACUUGGCUAUUGAGAAGAUUAUUGCACCGGUCGACGACACAUUAAAUAUAAAAGUAAAAAUAAAUAUACAAAAGUAAGGAAACAAACAUACUCGGAAAACAUGCUGUCUUGAUGGGCUGGUUUGUAGUAUCACUGGACCUUCAUUGUGCAGACAGCACAUGGACGAGCAAAAUGAACAGAUAGUGUAAACAUUGCACCUUUGUUAUGUUUCUUUUCUUUGCCGAUGUGUGAUCGGUACUCUGAAGCUGCAGUGAGAAGGUGCUCAGUAUGAUAAAAAGGAAAAAAGUUCAUUCCUAAAUGACGUUCAAAACCCUGAUGUACAUGUCCGUUUGUCUUUCUGUUCUCACUCGUUUCAUAAGUGGAACAAGUGCCAUUGCAAACUGCUCGAUGUAAUCUCUUGGCUUUGUUGUUUCAAGAGCAGGGAAGAAGUUUGGGCGUGUUGGUAGGAUACAUACAAACUGGGAUACAUAGCGCAAGAAAGACACAGGGACAAGCUCCUGUUCCGCUCUUCUGGGACAUUGCUUCAUUGUAGCAGCAUCAGAAUUUGUCGCGAAGCGACUUCUACUGGUUUUGCAUGGCGGUGACACCAUCUGUGCAAAGUAGUAGCUCCAUUUUACAAAAAUUUCGCAAGCAACUGCGCAGAAUUCAAGCACGCUUACCUUACACACCGGGCAGAACUAUCGCUGCUUGUCCCUGUGUCUUUCUUGCGCUAUGUAUCCCAGUUCGUAUGUUUCAAGAGCACUGGUGGCAUGCUGAAGCUGCUGCACCAACAAAUCAUCUGCAUUUGCUUUUCUUUUUCUGAUCAUAGGCGUGCCGGACGACGUUACUGAGUACACCUGUGCACGAGGUGCAGGCGUUGCCGCUGGCGGCGCUGACACCUCUAUCACCACCACAUCCCCCUCCUCCUUCUGCACCUGCAGGUACUUCUCAUGGCCAAAGUGGCACAUGUCAAAGAGCUCUGCAGCAGUGGGCCCUUCCUUCAGGUUGUUUUGGCUUGCUGCAACAGGUUCCUGCUGGCUCAGCAUUUGGAAGUUUCCUGAUGUGCUGAUACAUUUGAAGAAUGAAAUGUUCGUUGUAGAUACUUAUCCUUA